rnacentral:rRNA from 1 species
CGAAUGAAGAGAUUCAUCGUCAGCGUAUUCAGUAUUAAUGCAGGCUAUGAUGUGAUGAUAGAAUCCUUGUGGUCACUAGAUUAUACUUGCUUGUAUUAUUUUUGCUGGGUAGGUCGGCGUGCACUUCUCUUCUAGUAGACCGUCGCAACCCGUUGGAUGUUUAUUUAUGGCCUAAAUGGUAGCCUCUGAUAUUUUAAAAUAUCGAAGACCUUUGGUGUCCUGAUAAGCUGUCUGACGGUAAACAUAUAGUAUUGAGCCGCAAUUAUUUGCGUUAGACUUACCGCAAGUAAGAUUUUAGUCUAGUAGUGCAGAUCUAAUGCUGUCGCUGGGCAAAGUCUACUGUUAGCUGUGUAA